rnacentral:rRNA from 1 species
AUUGAACGCUGGCGGCAGGCCUAACACAUGCAAGUCGAACGAGUGGCGGACGGGUGAGUAAUGUCUGGGAAAUUGCCUGAUGGAGGGGGAUAACUACUGGAAACGGUAGCUAAUACCGCAUACCAUCGGAUGUGCCCAGAUGGGAGUAGCUAGUAGGUGGGGUAAAGGCUCACCUAGGCGACGAUCCCUAGCUGGUCGGAGAGGAGGACCAGCAACACUGGAACUGGGACACGGUCCAGACUCCUACGGGAGGCAGCAGUGGGGAAUAUUGCACAAUGGGCGCAAGCCUGAUGCAGCCAUGCGGCGUGGAUGAAGAAGGCCUUCGGGUUGUAAAGUACUUUCAGCGGGGAGGCGUUACCUGCAGAAGAAGCACCGGCUAACUCCGUGCCAGCAGCCGCGGUAAUAC